rnacentral:rRNA from 1 species
AUUGAACGCUGGCGGCAGGCCUAACACAUGCCAGUCGAGCGGAUGAAGGGAGCUUGCUCCUGGAUUCAGCGGCGGACGGGUGAGUAAUGCCUAGGAAUCUGCCUGGUAGUGGGGGAUAACGUCCGGAAACGGGCGCUAAUACCGCAUACGUCCUGAGGGAGAAAGUGGGGGAUCUUCGGACCUCACGCUAUCAGAUGAGCCUAGGUCGGAUUAGCUAGUUGGUGGGGUAAAGGCCUACCAAGGCGACGAUCCGUAACUGGUCUGAGAGGAUGAUCAGUCACACUGGAACUGAGACACGGUCCAGACUCCUACGGGACGCAGCAGUGGGGAAUAUUGGACAAUGGGCGAAAGCCUGAUCCAGCCAUGCCGCGUGUGUGAAGAAGGUCUUCGGAUUGUAAAGCACUUUAAGUUGGGAGGAAGGGCAGUAAGUUAAUACCUUGCUGUUUUGACGUUACCAACAGAAUAAGCACCGGCUAACUUCGUG